UUUUUUUCUUCACUUUUCUGCAUUAUUCAACGUAUAAAAAUGAAAAGCUUUAAUUGGUUUUGUUUGUUUGUGAUUUGAAUUUGUGGAUUUCUAUUGGCUCAUGAGGAAUCAAAGAGAUUGACCCGUUCUGCGUCAAAUCUGACCCUCCAUGCAUUUAUAGCCUUGAAUCUCGACCUUUAAUUGUGAUUUAGAAGGAAAUCCUUUGAAAAUUUGCAAAGUCCCACAUCGAGUCUAAGGUUGGAAUUUUUCAAAUCUGGGGUUCUAUAUAAGACGUUUUAUUUCGCAUUUUAUGGGCAGACUUGGAGAUAGACAAAAAAAAAAGAUUUUGAAAAGCAAUUUGAAAAAUUAUAUCAUCUUGCAUAUAAAAAUCAAAAUAACUAGGGUUUUGGCAAGUUUGCUUGGAAACCUUGAUCUUUUCGAUGUAGUUAAAAAAAAAUUAAGCUAGUUGUGCUUGUUGUGUGGCCGAGGGUGGAAGAAAAUUUCCUUAAAGUUUUUUCUUUGCUAGGCUGUGCAUUAAAAAGUACUGUGAGCCUAACACAUAAGUGGAGAGGAAAAAUAGCACUUGGGGAUGAAGCUCAAACCUUCCUGGUGUCUACCAUUCCUGGGGUUCCUGGAAACCACUUGGAUCUUGUGUGGUAUCAAGAACAAGAGGGCCUAAGGCCCAACCCCCUUCUUUUGAUCGAGUCCGCUGAAGAAUUAGAAAGGGAAGCAAAUAUUCAUUUUGAAGGCCCAGCCAAUGGGUGAAAAUAGCACUGAUGGGCUUAGGUAGGCCCAUCAAUUUAAAAGUUUACUUUCUUUCUCUAUUUUACUUGUCAUGUAUGUAUGUGUAUAUGUAUAUGUAUCAAACAUGUAAAAUAGUGAAACCCCUAUGCAUGUGUAGAAUUUAGGAAAUCAACGUUUAGUAUUUUAGGAAGUCGCUCAAAACAUUUUUAAACUCGGUCAAAUCUGAUUUUUGCACGACUGAAAUUGGCAUUUAACCUAAUUUUACUAAUUUUAACGAUCAAACUCACAUUUUAGAUAAAGUAAAUGGUUGUUUUCCUAAAAAAAUGGCUAAUUAGCAAGUUUUGGACCUUUGGUAGGAGGAUCUGGAAACUGUUUAUUUUAAAAGAAGUAAAACAUAACUUUUGGGCCUUCAGGCCGUUAGCUUUGGUUAUUUGUGAAGUGUGAUGUUGAAAUAAAUUUUGGAUGAAAAUGGAAGAUGGUUUGAGGUUUAUUUUGAUGGCAACAAAUCUUGAAACACCUUAAACAUUUGAGCAAAGAUUCUGAAAUAGUUUAGACACUGGAAAUUUGAGGCUUGGUAAAAAUUGGUAGAAGCGGGUUGUUUGAACUCCAACAUAUUUGGUCGUUGCGCUGAAACUUUUGUCGGGCUGAAAAUUAUUUUGGACCAAAGUAUAAGGAUAAAAACGGACUUGGACGUAGAGUACUAAUGACCUAUGGGCUUCAACAAUAAAAAUAGAAGUGAUUUUGUCAGAAUAACUUAUACUUUCAUGAGUAUACAUAAGUAUAAAAAAUGGAGAUAUACUCCAUAUUUUCAUAUAUAUAUAUAUAUAUAUAUAAACCCGUAGGUACUAAUCCCAUUUUGUUAGGACUAGAAUAGUAGUGACUCUACUCGGAGAAAUUCCGAGUGUGUCCUAGUCUGGCAACAAAGUGAGUUGAACACUUACGCGGAUUUUAAAAACCAAAACCUCCUUUUAUAAGGGAUAUUUUUGCCAAAUGUUUCCUUGAAAAUUAUGAUAUGAUAUGAAAAAUGACAUCUUUUUCUUGCGGAAAACUAAACACUUGUAAAGAAAUAAGUACAUUAAUCACACAUUAAAACUUGUAAGUCAACCGUAUUCUACGGAUCUUUAAUACUAGGGUGCGUAAAACCUUCCCUAGGGGAUCACCAGAACCUUUACCUCGAACUUUGGUCCGAAAGAUUUUUACUCAUUUUUGGAAAAAUCUUUAAACCCAGUUUUCCUAGUUUUUCAUAAUAAAUUAGGUGGCGACUCUAAAAAAAAUACUAAAAUUCAAUUAGAGCACCAACAACCUCGUAGUAACUUUUAUGCCUUCACCCGCGUAAAAGCGAACCAUAAUAAUCAUCAUUUACAUCUAGAGAUGCAUGAUCUCCACUCUCUGAUCAGCACUAGGAGUGCUUGACAUAACAUCAACAACUCUAUCUUCAGCCUCAAGUGGAGUGAUGGAGGGACCGGGUAACUUUGCAUCAUCUGGAUAUUUUGUUGCAUCUUCUUCAUUGCUUGCUUCAACUUGAUUUAUCAUUUCAGCCUUUCCAUUUGUGAUUUCCGGGACCUCAUUUGGAAUUGAGAGGUCUCCAUCAUCUGCUUCAUCCCUUUGUAUCUCUUUGCUUCCUAACUCAUCUGUCUCAUCAAAGAUCACAUGCACACUUUCUUCCACAA